UAUAUUUGUCCAUUGUCAUCAAGGAGCUGCCAGUUUUGGAGACAGGACAAACAGGCGAUGUGAGUUAUUUUGUAUCAGGACAGAAUACAGUGUACCUGAUCUGUUUAUAAGUUCAUUUAAGUCAUCCCCCGAAUCCAUCCAAGUGAAGGAUCAGAACAGGCUCCCUGCGUCAAAAUUCUGUCUGGCGUACACCAACAGGAGGUCCGACCAGGAUCUCAACCCUUUAGUAUGUCUUCUUGGACCCAAUGUUAUCACUCUGUGAAGUUUUUAUCCAAAUCCAUCCGGUGGAAGACCCAGAACAGGCUCCCCAGUCCAAAGUUCUGUCUGGCGUACACCAACGGGAGGUCCAACCAGGACCCCAACUCCCUAGUAUGUCUUCUGGGAUCAAUUAUUAUCACUCUGUGAAGUUUUCAUCCAAAUCCAUCCAGUGGAGGGCCCAGAACAUGCUCCCUGGGUCAAAGUUCUGCCCAGCGUACACCAACAAAAGGUCAGAGCGGGACCUCUCAAACCCCUAGUAUGUCUUCUGGAAUCCAGUGUUACCACUCUGUGAAGUUUUUAUCCAAAUCCAGGCUCAGAACAGACUCUCUGGGUCAAAGUUCUGCACAGCAUGUACCAGCUGGAGGUCUGCUGGGACCCUACCCCCUCUAAACCUGGCCAGGAUCCAGCUGGGCCAUCUUACAUUGGUUUCAUCCCAAUCAGUGCAGGGGUGUCAGAAUGCAAAUCCAGACAAUUAAACAAACAGACCAGUGAAUUUUAUAUAUAAAAUGCCCAUUGACGUUUCUCUAAAUUAUAUUUGUGUAAUUGGGUGAUUGUGCCAUUAUGUUACUUACCCACUUCAGCAGACACCCCCAUAUGAUACCUCCAAUGGUAAUUCCCAUUACAGUAUGUAUCCCAUAGUUUUAGGUCUCUUUGAUUUCUCCCUGGCUGCUCAUUGCACUGGACAGUCUGCAAACUGCUCAAACAUUGCCCGGGUCAGUAGGCAGCAUUAUGAAAAAUGGGAUUUUUGUGAAAGGAAUAAUAAAAAGUUUAAAAACAAAAAUAUUACUAUAAAUUAUGACACAUUACAUGUUCUUUACAGAACUAUUUAGUCACUUCUAACAUCCUUAUCAUUUACAAUGAGCAGUUUUUUUUAAUCCAAUAUUCACACUAUAAGGGUGGGUUGUGUCAGUCUAAAAAAUGUGGUCAAACUUCGGGAAUCUGUGGUUUUCUGAUGUUUCCUGCAAUAUAUAGAGUAUGGUACCCUGUGCUACACCUGUCCCAAACUGAUUCUAUGGGGCUGCCAUGAAUCAGUAUGCAGGAAGCUUCCUAAAGCAUAUACUUCCAUAGCUUCUGCCCGAUGGGCAAUGCAAUCUACAGAUGACGUUUCCAGUAGAAAACUUUGCACUUACUUACGGGUUGAGAAAAGGAGAGGGAUCGGCAGGGUCAUUCUUCUUUUCCCCACAGACCAUUGGAACAGCUCUUUAUUGGAACAGAUGUACUGGCAGGGAAUUGGCGAUAUUCGGCUGAAGCACUACACACAGAAUAUAUCAACACAACAAGCGAGGACAAGCACGCAGAGCUAAAUGAUAAAUAAUGUUAUUUUUAUGAUAAAUAUUGGAGAACUCUCGCUGCUGUCUGCUUAAUGCUGGCAUUCUUCCAUUAUAGAGCACACUGAGCGCUACGUUUGAUAGGGACUUUUUGUCCCUUGUACCAAAGUAAUCUACCUCCGUCACAAACAUCAUAAUUCUUCUAACGAUGUAUGCUAAUUAUAAUUAUUUUCCCGCUGACCAUCCUAACGGGUAAUUAGGCUGUGCAGAUGACUUAUUAAUUACUCCAAAAGUAUUUCUCUUUUUUUAUUUUAUAUUUUAUUUCUGUCUGUCUUGCCUGGUAUAUUAGUUUUUAUCUUUAUGUCACACCCUUCCUUUCCUCUUGUUGUGGCUAGUGAUCAUUGCCAAACUUUCAUUACAGUGUUAAGUGUAUUGUUGUUUCAUCUCAUCUGUUUUCAGGGUUUCUAAUUUUGUACAUCUUGCCGCAUAGAAUUAACUAAUUAGUCUCACACUACAUGCAUGUAAGAGACUAUUUAUCAAAGGUUGUUAUUUCACCAAUUAACAGAGUGAUGUAAAUAUAUAUAUAUAUAUAUAUAUAUACUCACUCAGUCACUCACUCACUCACUCACUCACUCACUCACUCACUCACUCACGCACUUACUCGCUCACUAUAAUAAACAGUGGGGUUUUGGUCCACGAACUGAUCAAUGCAUUUAAGCUUGCAAGCUCCAGUCAAGGGAAAGUCCUAUCACUUGGGAUUAUAAAUCUGGUAACUACUAUCACAUCAGAAUUAAACUUAAGCUACUCUAUGCCAACUGGUUUAUAGCUCAUCUGUCUCACCAUUUAAAAGCUAUAAGCCAGUUGUCAGGUGAGCUCUAAACUAGUUGGCAUACAUUAAGUUUAAUUUGGAUGUGAUAGCAGCUACCAGGUUUAUAAUUCUGAGUAAUAGAGUAGGACUUGCGGAGAAAUGGGGUGCCUUGUCGAGGGCUGCAAGCUUAAAUGCAUUGAUCAAUUUAUGAACCAAAACUCCAUUGUUCAUUAUGGUAAGAGAGUUUAUUAUGGUGAGUUCUGAGCUCUGUGUUGUUUAUUUAAGUAAUGUGGUCACUUAAGUGGUGAGUGCUGUGGAUUUAUGUAUAUAUAUAUAUAGUUGGUAUAAAGGUCAGUUGUUUCACUGGAUUAUAUUGUGUCGAUGUACCAUUUAUACACACAGGAAAUAAGUGUACCAUUUUUCAGAUUGCUAGAUAGGCUAUGGUAAGAUGGACUUCUGGUCACCGAACAUUGAAAUGUAGACUGAAAACAUUGAUAUACAAGUUAAGGGAUCUACUGUAUGUACUAAGCAUUGGAGAUAGAUAAAGUGGCUGGAGAUACAGUACUAACCAACCAGCUUCUGUCAUUUUUCAAACCCAGCCUGUAACAUGGCAAUUAGGAGAAGAUUGGCUGUUACUUUAUCUCUCUCCACUUUAUGUCUCUUCAAAGCUUAGUGCAUAGACCCCCUAAUCUGGAAAUAAAAAUGAUCUGCGGCUAAAGCAAUCACCAUUUAUAUAUAGGUAUACAUUUUAUUAAAUCUUGUUCCAGAACUAAUUACUAUGAUUACAGCGCAAGAAGUAUGGAUCUCCCGGUGUCAUGGAACAGUGAUCAGACAUGAGGAUAAUAUGUGUAUUCCUGUAAGUAAAUCACAGUGCAGCCAUCAAAGUACUUUAUAUACUUUACUCAAUAUACUUUAGGAAGCGACAGAAAACAUAAUAAAUAAAGGUCAGCUUUCUUAUUUCCUGCGUACUCACCUCAUAAUUACUGUAGAGGAAGGUUUUUACAAAGAAAAGAAUGCAGAACAAUACUGGGGCAUAGUAUAGAAGAGGAAGAAAAACAUGUUAGAUUUUUCCAAGAUAAGAGAACCUAUGGAAAUGUGUUCACCUGCUGGGGCACAGCACAGCCCACCUCUCUGUGACCACCUCUGAGCGCAUAACAUUUCCACUAUCCGGAUGAUAGACAGUGUCUAGUUAGACAGUCAAUAGAUAGACACCAUAUGUUAGACUAGGGGUGGACAAAAUACGGCCCGUGGGCCGGAUGCGGGCCAAUAACUGAUCCAGCCCGGCUCGCUUUCUCCCACCAGUGCACAAUGACAAGUGGCCCGACCAGCGGAGCUGCUUGUCAUUGCGCUACAGUAGCUGCCUCUCAUGGGCGCCGCAGAGGACAUCCUGGUCACAUCGGUUCAGCCGACCAGAAUUCCUUGUGACUUCAGGCACUGGGCGGUGUUGGGGGCGGGGCCAAAUUCUGAUUGUGGCUGUGGAUGUGGGCAACAGUAAGUUUAAAUGUACUAGACUGCACAACACUACAGGACAGCACUGAAUCUGAGACCACUUAAGGUACACAUGCUUGGCUGGCAGGUGGCUGCGGGACCUGCCAGAUAAGUGGGGCAGGGGAGCCCAGUAUGAGUUUUGGGAGAUAGCUGUAACUGUGCCAAUGGAGGGAGGAAAUGGCAACUGUGCCCUGUGGUAAAGUGAAGACUUGAAUAGACUAAGCUACUGCGGCUGCGGGGCAUCCAUGCUUGUAAGUCUGGCAGUGGCAGCAGAACC